rnacentral:rRNA from 1 species
UACAGAGGGUGCAAGCGUUAACCGGAAUUACUGGGCGUAAAGCGUGCGUAGACGGUUGCGUAAGUCAGAUGUGAAAGCCCCGGGCUCAACCUGGGAAUUGCAUUUGAGACUGCGUAGCUAGGGUGCGGAAGAGGGAAGCGGAAUUUCCGGUGUAGCGGUGAAAUGCGUAGAUAUCGGAAGGAACACCAGUGGCGAAAGCGGCUUCCUGGUCCAGCACCGACGUUCAGGCACGAAAGCGUGGGGAGCAAACAGG